rnacentral:rRNA from 1 species
GAUGAACGCUGGCGGCGUGCCUAAUACAUGCCAGUAGAACGCUGAAGGAGGAGCUUGCUCUUCUGGAUGAGUUGCGAACGGGUGAGUAACGCGUAGGUAACCUGCCUGGUAGCGGGGGAUAACUAUUGGAAACGAUAGCUAAUACCGCAUGACAACAGUUAUUGCAUGAUAACUGUUUAAAAGGGGCAACUGCUCCACUACCAGAUGGACCUGCGUUGUAUUAGCUAGUUGGUGAGGUAACGGCUCACCAAGGCGACGAUACAUAGCCGACCUGAGAGGGUGAUCGGCCACACUGGGACUGAGACACGGCCCAGACUCCUACGGGAGGCAGCAGUAGGGAAUCUUCGGCAAUGGACGGAAGUCUGACCGAGCAACGCCGCGUGAGUGAAGAAGGGUUUCGGAUCGUAAAGCUCUGUUGUAAGAGAAGAACGAGUGUGAGAGUGGAAAGUUCACACUGUGACGGUAUCUUACCAGAAAUGGACGGCUAACUACGUG